GUGCUCACUUCGGCAGCACAUAUACUAAAAUUGGAACGAUACAGAGAAGAUUAGCAUGGCCCCUGUGCAAGGAUGACAUGCAAAUUCAUGAAGCGUUCCAUAAAAAA
ensembl:snRNA U6 U6 spliceosomal RNA